AACUCUCAACCCCGCCCCAUCUUUAUUGAUGUGUGGUUGCUUGGGCUUGGAUCAUGAUCCUUUUGCUGUUUUCGGACAGCUGGAUUGAAAUACAACAAGCUGAAUCAAUAUACGUGCGGCUUGACCUGUCGUUGUAAGCAAACUUUCGAUGGGGACGCAUGAAAAUUGAACGAGCUUAUCAAAUUGCUCCGCUGUGUCAUCUAAGGCUUUCGGGUUUUAGUAACCAGUGCAUU
rnacentral:misc_RNA from 1 species